CCAUUAUAACAUCGUGUAGGAAACUGGCAUCACCAGGAUUGCUCAGAUUUAGGCGAUCAUGUUUAUCUUUAAAGUGAGCAGCUAGCUACUUGUUAAAAAACUUUGCGUGACAUAGUGUUACACCGCAGCCGGUCCGGGUAAAACAUUAAAGGGACAGUCUUUUUACCUUAUCACUAUAAAUCGCUAUUUUCUGCACUAAACGAGACAUUUUCAGAGAUUUUCUGUAGACAAGAUGUUAUAAUUAAAAAAAGACUUAUUUAGAUAUUUAUAUAUAAUAUAUAAUAUAACAACUAAUAUAUAUAUAUAUAUUUGUUUUACAACUGACUUAACACUUACAGUAAUGUUUUAUUUGUUAGCAUAGCAUGAUAUUAGAUUUAAACACUUAAUACAUUUUUAAAUCAAUCACUUUGUCUCUGCACAAUGAACAUUAUCAAAUAUUAUUAAUGUUGUAAAAUAUAUUGUUCAUUGUUAGUUCAUAUUAGCUAAGGCAUUACCAAAUGUUAAGGAAUAAACUCUUAUAGUAAAGUGUUACUAAAUUUUCUUUUACCAUUUCCUUCACAAUGUCUAUUUAUUUCUAUGGCUAACAGAUUUUGUAACAUUUGUCUUUUUUACAGUCUUACCAUUGCUUGUAAGCUGGAUUGGGUAAGAUGGAUCAUCUUUAAAGGCACCAGGAGUUAAGGCAGAUGUGGAGGCACAACGGGUGAUACCAGACACACACCAAGCACAUUAUGUUUGGACAUUCAAUCAUGACAUGAUCCAGGUGGAUGCUGUCCAUUGAGGAAAGAGUUUGUUCAGCGGUUUCUGGAUAGAAUUAAUUCCAAAGAUGGGAAAAAGUGCACAUCCAGACAAGGAGCAAGCAAAAAGACAAGGAACUUGGUGCAGAGAAAAGCUGUGGCCAUUAACCCCUGUGAACAGCUUCAUGCAGUCGCUGAUUGAGUUCGAAUGGACGACUUCAGUAAAGGCCACUGUGGUCUGUCUGCCACAGUUUAAUUUUUUAUUUAUUUUUAGUGUUCAAUGAAAUUCAAGUAGAAUAUUUAAAACUAUGGGCCAGUGUUGUUUUUACCACGGUGAAAUGUUACCUUUUAGUCGAUGAUGGACUUUAAACUGAAAACUUCAAACUAUGGAACAGUGUUCUAUUUGCCAGAGUUAAAUAUGUUACAGCAGGGGUCUCCAAACUUGUUUAUACUUGUUGAUUUUAUUUUAUGUUACUUGAUUAUAUGUUUAUUAUUGUUUAAAAUCUUGUUUUAAAUAUGUUUGUUUCAAUUAAAUGUUUUUUUUAAUAAAAUUUUGAUACAAACAUUGCUUGGAUUGCCUUUUAAUUCAUUAUGUUUUAAUUUAGCAUUUUUACCAUAUUAAUAACUAUAGAUUUAAACCUAAAUCUCUAGCUAUUUUAUAUAAUAUUAUUGUAUUAACUGUAAUAAGUAAUAAAUAGUAUUUAUGGGUCAAUAUAGACAUUACAGUAAAUUACUGUAAAAAUAGACUACUGUAAUAAAAUAUUGUAAAAUUACAGUACAGUACUGCUUUGUAACUAUACAGUACUAGUUUGUGUACUGUAAAAUGGUAUUACAGUACAGUACUGUAAAACCAAAAUACAGUAACUUACUGG